ensembl:lncRNA
GUUGUACUUUCUGUUGUUGUCUCAGUUGUGGUGCUUUCAGUUGUUAUUGAAAUUUCUGCUGUUGUACUUUCUAAAGUUGUGGUACCGGUGGUGGUGCUUUGUGUUGUUGUAGAUUCCAUUGUGGUGCUGUCUGUUGUUAUUGUUGUCUCUGCUGUUGUACUUUCUGGUGUUGUGGUACCGGAGGUUGUACUUUCUGUUGUGGUGCCUGUGGUUGUACUUUCUGUUGUUGUCUCAAUUGUGGUGCUUUCAGUUGUUGUUGAAGUUUCUGCUGUUGUACUUUCUGGUGUUGUGAUUCCGGAGGUUGUACUUUCUGUUGUUGUCUCAGCUGUGGUGCUUUCAGUUGUUGUUGAAGUUUCUGCUGUUGUACUUUCUAAAGUUGUGGUACCAAUGGUGGUGCUUUCUGUUGUUGUAGUAUCGAUUGUGGUGCUGUCUGUUGUUAUUGUUGUCUCUGCUGUUGUAGUUUCUGGUGUUGUGGCAACGGAGGUUGUACUUUCUGUUGUUGUCUCAGUUGUGGUGCUUUCAGUUGUUGUUGAAGUUUCUGCUGUUGUACUUUCUAAAGUUGUGGUACCGAUGGUUGUACUUUCUGUUGUUGUAGUAUCGAUUGUGGAGCUGUCUGUUGUCAUUGUUGUCUCUGCUGUUGUACUUUCUGGUGUUGUGG